rnacentral:rRNA from 1 species
AUAAGCUGGAACUGUCGCGGGGCGGGGAACCCCACGACAGUUCGAGAUCUCGCGUCUCUUGUUAGGACGCAUUCCUCGAGUCCUGUUUUUCUUUGCGAGACUAGGCAAAAUAAAGAACAAGUGUAUCGUCUUAGAAACAGAUUAGGUCUUUCUGGUUUAGAAGCAAUCAGUUGUAAUGGUCGUAGUGGUGGCUUAGCUUUGUAUUGGCAUGAGUCUAUGUACGUUGAUAUUCAAGAAGCCAAUGAACGAUUGAUCGAUGUGUACUUGCGGGUCUCGGCUGAUGCACCACUUUGGCAGGCUACUUUUGUGUACGGAGAACCUCGCGUGGAGAACCGUCAUCUUAUGUGGAACAAGCUCAGGAGCUUACAUGCACAAAGUACGCUGCCUUGGAUUCUGAUUGGCGAUUUCAAUGAAGCUAUGUGGGAUUUUGAGCAUCAAACAGAAACACCGAGAUCGGCAGGCCAGAUGCUAAGUUUUCGUGAUUCCUUAGAGGCUUGUGGUCUUACGGAUAUUGGAUUUUCAGGUCACCUAUGA